AUUGAACGCUGGCGGCAGGCCUAACACAUGCAAGUCGAGCGAGCGGCGGACGUGUGAGUACUGUAUGGGGACUGCCCGAUGGAGGGGGAUAACUACUGGAAACGGUGGCUAAUACCGCAUACUAUCGGAUAACCCAUAUGGGAUUAGCUAGUUGGUGGGGUAAAGGCUCACCUAGGCGACUAUCCCUAGCUGGUCUGAGAGGAUGAUCAGCCACACUGGAACUGAGACAAGGCCCAGACUCCUACGGAGGCAGCAGUGGGGAAUAUGGCACAAUGGGCGCAAGCCUGAUGCAGCCAUGCCGCGUGUAUGAAGAAGGCCUUGGGGUUGUAAAGUACUUUCAGCGGGGAGGCGUUACCCGCAGAAGAAGCACCGGCUAACUCCGUGCCAGCCGCCGCGGUAAUUC
rnacentral:rRNA from 1 species